CAGAACAAAUACCCAGAAUCCUUUGCAUCCCUAACUCUUCCGGGCUACAAAAACACCCCUGCUACACCUAACUCCGCCCACCUCCCGAAUUCGGAGGUCUCAAGGUUGGCAAGUAUGCAUUGACGUCACUUAGCUUGAUGCAAGCAGAGAAACAUUUUGCCGCUUUUCCACGACACCCGCCCACGCUCUUCCUCCCUCCCUCCCUGCCUCCCUCGCUCGCCCGCCUGCUCGCUCCCUCCCCCGUUGUAAACAGUCCGGGCAGGGAAGACGAGCGUCCAAAGCACUCCGCCGAAGGAGCGAGCGACAAUACAAAAGUGUGGUGCACUGGACCCCAGCGCUGAUACUCCGACAGAGAGUCGCUGGGCGAAUCAGACGUGUAACACGUUAGUGGUGAUGUUAGCCCGUUCGGGGCUAAUUGUGCUACCGUAACUGUAAACUCCACGGCGAUGUUGGAAAUGACCUUUUCUUCUAUGAUAUUCAUUCUCAGAAGUGAUGACAAACAUUUUUGUUGAUACAGAGAAAGUUGCGGUGCACAAUGAACACAAUUUGAAACGUCAUUAUACAACUAGACAUGCUGAGGAGUAUGCAAAGUACCAGGGAGAUGAGAGAGUGAACCGGUUUGCAAAUUUUAAAACCAGUCUACUGAGGCAACAAGAUUUCGUCAAGAAAGCAAACGAAAAGAGCGAUGCAGCAGUCAAAGCUAGCUACAUGAAAUCUUUUCUUGCGGCCCAGCCUCACCCAGUUUCUGCAUCCAGUGGCCCCCAGGUAAAUUGAGUUUGAGACCCCUACUUUAAAUAGACACCCCUUUUAGACAAGUUUAUCUGCCAUCUCUUUUCUGCUCUGCCCCCCUCUCCUUUGUGGAGAGGGGGAGCACAGAUUCGGUGACCACAGAUGAGGCACUUGCUGUCCAAAGUCGGGACCCAGGGUGGACCACUCAUCUGUGCAUCAGUUGGGGACGUCUCUGUGCUGCUGACUUGUCUCCAUUCAAGAUGAUUUCCUGCUGGCCCCACUAUGGACUGGACUCUCACACUAUUAUGUUAGAUCCACUAUGGACUGGACUUUCACACUAC